rnacentral:rRNA from 1 species
UACAGAGGGUGCGAGCGUUGUCCGGAAUUAUUGGGCGUAAAGAGCUCGUAGGUGGCCUGUCGCGUCGGCUGUGAAAACUCGGGGCUCAACUCCGAGCUUGCAGUCGAUACGGGCAGGCUAGAGUUCGGCAGGGGAGACUGGAAUUCCUGGUGUAGCGGUGAAAUGCGCAGAUAUCAGGAGGAACACCGGUGGCGAAGGCGGGUCUCUGGGCCGAUACUGACACUGAGGAGCGAAAGCGUGGGGAGCGAACAGG